rnacentral:rRNA from 1 species
AGCANUCUCUAGUGGCGAACGGCGGAGUAAUACAUGAGGAACGUGCCGGAAAGCCGGGGAUAUACAGUCGAAAGACUGGGCAAUACCCGAUGUGGCGCCCGAGGGGCAUCCCUUGGUCGUUAAACGGUUUUUCGCUUUCCGAGCGCCUCAUGACUCAUCAGCUAGUUGGUAGGGUAAUGGCCUACCAAGGCGACGACGGGUAGGGGGUCUGAGAGGACGAUCCCCCCGAGUGGGACUGAGACACGGCCCACACACCUACGGGUGGCAGCAGUUGGGAAUCUUGCACAAUGGGGGAAACCCUGAUGCAGCGACGCCGCGUGGACGAUGAAGGAUUUCGGUCUGUAAAGUCCUUUUGCUAGGAAAGACUUAGGACGGUACCUAGCGAAUAAGCCCCGGCUAACUACGUGCCAGCAGCCGCGGUGAUACGUAGGGGGCAAGCGUUGUCCGGAUUUACUGGGCGUAAAGGGCGCGUAGGCGGCCAUUUAAGUGUGGUGUGAAAUCUCCAGAGCUCAACUCGGAAACUGCACCGCAUACUGGAUGGCUGGAGGAUGGUAGAGGUAAGUAGAAUUCCCGGUGUAACGGUGACAUGUGUAGAUAUCGGGAGGAAUACCAAUGGCGAAGGCAGCUUACUGGGCCAUUCCUGACGCUGAGGCGCGAAAGCGUGGGUAGCAAACAGAAUUAGAUACUCUGGUAGUCCACGCCCUAAACGAUGGAUACUANGCGUCAAGGGUAUCGACCCCCUUGGUGCCGCAGCUAACGCAUUAAGUAUCCCGCCUGANGAGUACGGCCGCANGGUUGAAACUCAAAUGAAUUGACGGGACCCCGCACAAGCGGUGGANCAUGUGGUUUAAUUCNAUACUAACCGAAGAACCUUACCCAGGUUUGNCAUCGCGUGCAAGCUCCUGAAAGGGAGCCCUCUUCCCA